rnacentral:sRNA from 1 species
ACCUAUGUUGUCAAACAUAAGAAAUAAGGUGGGUUUGGUUGUUUAUUAUAAAGUUGGUAGGUCAAUUUUGUGAUGAAUAAAAUGUACCAGAAUGUCUGUUAGAGGGGAAUAACUAUUGUAUAUAAUGAGUGUACACAGGCUAGACAGAGCAGUCACCUGUCUGCAGAAUGCCUUUCUGUGAUCAAGGCUGGGAUGAGUGGAAGGAACUGAACAGAUGGGGCUGUGUUCUUCAACCCUAGGCUUUGAACAGCAUCUGACUAAGGAUUAAUAAGGGCACAAAGGGUUUGAAAUUCCCCUUAGACAGUAACAGGAUUCCUAGAAAAUGUACACUUCCUGUUGCAUUUGUAGCCUGCACCACCACUAAGAGGUAGGAUGCAGCCAACCUUUAGCCUACAGGUAAACAUCAGUAGGCACAAUCCAAAUUCAUGAAGGGUGUUUGAGUUGGUGAAAUGUUACUUGAUAUUAUCUGGCAGGUUCCCUUGGCUUAACCUCACUUAGCUCAGCUGUAAAAUGGGGCUAUCCUGGUAGCUCCCCUGCGUUCUGUUGAUAAAGGAGAUAACUAGGGCAAGUAUUUAGCACAGCAUGCAAUACACAAUUUUAGUAAUUACCUCUCGAUAAGCUGAACAGGCAACUUUUGGGUCUAACCAUUUUAGGUUAUUUGAAAGCUGUUGAAGUAAUCUAGGUUUUUCUUCUUUUGUUGUGUUUUAGGGUAAAAACUUAAGUGAUGAAGCUGUACACAUUUAAGUACAUCACUUGCAGGACUCUUCAGUGUUCAGCUUAUGCCAUUUAGGAAACAAAAUGGCACAUCAUCAUGCAGGCUCAGAUUCUCUCGGAGCUGUGUGAACUCGGCUUUGACAGUCAG